rnacentral:tRNA from 1 species
AGGGCUGUAGCUUAGUGGCAGAGCAUGCAGAAGGCCCCAGGUUCAACCCUGGCAUCUCUA